rnacentral:tRNA from 5 species
GGGCCCUUAGCUCAGCGGAUUAGAGCGUCUGACUACGGAUCAGAAGGUCGUAGGUUCAAAUCCUACAGGGCCCA